UUUUAGGGGGAGGACCUUUGCUUGGACGAGUUUGGUGUGAAACCCUGACCUCAAGUCCGCUAAAGCAGCGAUGACAAGCCUCCAUCAGUUUCAACUUGCAAUUGCUGUGUGACAGUGUGCGUGCUGACUGACAGGAGUCGAGGGUUGAAUGCCAGCAUCGUCACUACAGCGCAAAUCAUGGCGAUGGAAGAAAAAAAGUCCCAAUAUUUUUGAAAAGCAGUAUUGUGACGCUUAGCUUGGCAUCGUGGUGCGGGUUCGUUCUCUCAAUCGACGCAGUCGGACUCGGACACGGCGUGAAGGCAUCCAUCCAUUUUCUACCGCUUGUCCCUUUCGGGGUUUCGAGGGGUGCUGGAGCCUAUCUCAGCUGCAUUCGGGCGGAAGGCGGAGUACACCCUGGACAAGUCACCACCUCAUCGCCGGGCCAACACAGAUAGACGAUGACAUGAAAAAGAAGAACAAGAAUGAUUGAUCUGAUAACAUGGUCAGAGUGCUGAAGAGUUCCUCCAGUGACGUCAGUCUCCGGAAACAGCCGAAGGUAUUUGGGGCAGAAUAUUCAAAAUGGCUGACUUGAGUUUGUGGCAUUUUUUGAUGUUUAGACUGUAUUUUCACAUACUGCCGAUUGGUAAAUACAAUGAAACACAGUUAAGAAAGUAGUCACCUUGUUUUCCCACUAUGGUGCGGCCCUUUUUGAAAAUACUAUUUAAAAAAAUGAACAUAGCUUCAUGAUGCAGUAACAGUCAACACUUAAGUAUGUGGUCCUUUUUUAAAUCAAAGUAC